GGUUGAUCCUGCCAGUAGUCAUAUGCUUGUCUCAAAGAUUAAGCCAUGCAUGUCUAAGUAUAAACUGCUUAUACUGUGAAACUGCGAAUGGCUCAUUAAAUCAGUUAUAGUUUAUUUGAUGGUACCUUCUACUCGGAUACCCGUAGUAAUUCUAGAGCUAAUACGUGCGUCACUCCCCAACUUACGAAGGGGCGUAUAUAUUAGAUAAAAGGCCGACCGGACUUUGUCCGACCCGCGGUGAAUCAUGAUAUCUUCACGAAUCGCAUGGCCUUGUGCCGGCGAUGUUUCAUUC
rnacentral:rRNA from 1 species